CCACGCCCAGGCAGCCCGUAUUUAAUUACCUUGGAGCUGGGGAUGAAUAAAUAAUGUGUUCGUGAGGGGCUGAAUAACGCCCGUGCGCCCCUUUGCUGCCCCUCGCUCUGCCCCGUGAGCGCGGAGGGUCGGGGCAGCCCCGCGCAGCGCCCAGCGGCGGCGCUUUAAUUAGCCUAAUCCUCGUUUGCACACCCCCGCUCAAAAAGCAAUUAUUUAAAAAAAUUAGAAAACAAUUAGGCUCCCUAAGCAAAGAUAAUCUAUUGUCAGCAGGGAGGUGAGGACAAUGCGGUGAGAUAAGGGCAGGGCGCGGGGGGCUGGGGGUGUCUUUAUGGCUCUAUUUAUCUUUGAUUAGAUAAGUCGAAGCCCGUAUUUUAAGCACACUCCAGAACGCUUUGGAUUCAGGAAUGGGUUCGUUCCGCGGGUGCUAAGAGCCAUCGCGGGGCUCUUUAAAACCUGUUUGUCCUCACUAAGACAGUGGGAUUUAUUUGACCUACCAAGUCGGAUUUAUUUGAGUUCACUGCUGCGAGGGAAGGGGAGCCCGCUCCGGCCGCGGGGCUCGGCGCUCCCUGCCCGUGCCACGACGUGGGAAAGGCCGAUAUUUUCCUAAAUCCGGAUUGUUGUUUUUCCCACGUACUUCUCGUCUCGGGGCUGUUUAAAUUAAGCCACUGCCACCCAGUCUGUACAGCGACUGUACUAUGUCCGCUGGAGUCAGGGCGCUUCCAUAUCCCAUGACCAUGUGUCUGGAGGCGCUCAGCUCGGGAAGAGCACGGACCUGAGGGUUUGUAACUUCUGGAUGAGAAGGAGAGAAACGCAACGCGGGACUGGGGAAGCCCCUGGGCAUUGUAACGAGAGCGGGCUCCUCUUGCCCUCACAGUUCUCCUUUUUUUUGUUGUUGUUCUCUUCUUCUUCUUUUUUUUUUUCCUCCUUUAAAGGGCCGACCAAAACAAACACCGCUCUUGCUGGGAAUAAGCAAAUUAUCCCGAUGCGGCCGGCGGAAGAGCUGACAGACACGGGCGAGGGCUGAGCGGAGGCUUCCUCGCGAUUCUUGAGCGGGACUUUAUUCUCCCCUCUCACCAAAAUUCACAAAAGGAGGGGACAGACCCGCCCGGGUCUACCUGGGAGCUCUGCAGGCAAGGACCGCUGAGCAUCAAUGUUCCUAAAGGCUCCGGGGUUGGUUUUCCUAAAAAUUAGGAACCUUUCAUUUCGAACCAAGAGGCAAAUGUAUUUCCAGAACACCCCAAUCCCAUUUAACCCUUGAAAAGAAUCACAAAAGCAACAACAAAAAAAAAGAGAGUUUCUAGCCGCUCAAAAAAUAAAACCAAACCAUAAACAAGGAUGAUGCAAAUAAACAAAAAGCCACGGAAGAAGACAACGGCGCAGAGCUGCCGCCGGCCCCUCUCGGGGCUUUCUUUGCCGGCGGAGCAGGAGCAGCCGGGCAGCAUCACCCGGAGCAUCUCCUGGCAGCACCUCCCGGAGCAUCUCCCGGAGCUCCCGGGCUGCCCCCGCCGCCGGGGCCUGGCUCCUCCGCGCCCGCGGAGAGGAGGCGGCCGAGCGAGGGGGCCUCCGCUGCUCGCCCCCAUUGCCCGGGCACCCAUCGGCUCUGUUUGUGCGGGAAAUUCAGUUAUUCCCUUAUUUAUUCGAUGUAUUUGUACAGCGCAGGGCGGGGAUGAAGAUGGAGCCCACGCAACGCGCUGCGGGUUUUUCCUCGAUUUCGCCAGAAAAUCAAAAGAAAGCAGGAAAAAAAAGUAAACAAAAUAUAUCCCCCAUUUCCUUCCGAGAUUAGAAAUAAAGCUCUUCCCCAAUCAAAA